rnacentral:rRNA from 1 species
AUUGAACGCUGGCGGCAUGCCUUACACAUGCAAGUCGAACGGCAGCGGGGACUUCGGUCCGCCGGCGAGUGGCGAACGGGUGAGUAAAGUAUCGGAACGUACCUUUCAGUGGGGGAUAACGUAGCGAAAGUUACGCUAAUACCGCAUAUUCUGUGAGCAGGAAAGCAGGGGAUCGCAAGACCUUGCGCUGAUUGAGCGGCCGAUAUCAGAUUAGCUAGUUGGUGGGGUAAAGGCCUACCAAGGCGACGAUCUGUAGCGGGUCUGAGAGGAUGAUCCGCCACACUGGAACUGAGACACGGUCCAGACUCCUACGGGAGGCAGCAGUGGGGAAUUUUACGCAAUGGGGGAAACCCUGACGUAGCGACACCGCGUGAGCGAAGAAGCCCUUUGGGGUGUAAAGCUCUGUCAACAGGAACGAAACAAAUGACGGUACCUGUGGAGGAAGCAUCGGCUAACUACGUGCCAGCAGCCGCGGUAAUACGGAGGGUGCAAGCGUUAUCCGGAUUCACUGGGUUUAAAGGGUGCGUAGGUGGGCAAGUAAGUCAGUGGUGAAAUCUCUGGGCUUAACCCGGAAACUGCCAUUGAUACUAUUUGUCUUGAAUUCUCUGGAGGUAAGCGGAAUAUGUCAU